rnacentral:rRNA from 1 species
UACGUAGGGGGCUAGCGUUGUCCGGAAUCAUUGGGCGUAAAGAGCGUGUAGGCGGCCCGGUAAGUCCGCUGUGAAAGUCGGGGGCUCAACCCUCGAAUGCCGGUGGAUACUGUCGGGCUAGAGUGCGGGAAGAGGCGAGCGGAAUUCCUGGAUGUAGCGGUGAAAUGCGCAGAUAUCAGGAGGAACACCGAUUGCGAAGGCAGCUCGCUGGGACGUCACUGACGCUGAGACGCGAAAGCGUGGGGAGCAAACAGG